CAAAAUAUCAAUUUCAUGAAACAGGAACACACAGGCCCGGGUUGCAGAAACGGUGCUUCUCAUGCCAGGAAAGACGGCACGAGGAGUAAGUGAGAGGUUCGCGACUAUUCGUCCAACAAACCCAAAACUGUGGAAUAGUCUGCCAGUUAACCUCUGUGAGAAGAGCGCUCUAUAAACAUAAAUUGAAUUGAACUGAUGUGGGGCACCAGGUCGGAGCGGUCAAUAGACCAGUUCCUUCACCGCUCGUCCCCCCUUCAUCCUAGGCGCUGUGACUGAAUGUCGCCACCACCGACACCGUGGUCAAAACAACACGGAAGCGCCUGUCCUCUCUCCGUAGGCUGAACAAGUUUGGCAUGCCAUCCCGGAUCCGGGGCUAAUUUCUACAGGCGUACAGCCGAGAGCAUCCCGACCGGCUGCAUCACUGCCUGGUAUGGGAGCUGCUCGGCCCAGCAUUGUGAGGAACCGCAGAGGGCGGUGAAGUCGGCACAGCUCAUCGGUGGCUCUGAGCUUCCAAACAUCCGGGACAUCUACGCAGCCAGAUGCCUGAAGAAGGCCUGGGCUAUCCUCAAGGAGCCCAGUCAUCCUGGUCACGCACCGUUUUCUCUCCUGCCGUCCGCUAAAUAUUGCCAAAACAUCAAAUCAAAAUCAAACAGACUGCGGGAUAGCGUCUAUCUCCAGGCUGUUAGACGCCCGAACAGUCGAGCGGCAUCCGAAUGCAGCAACUCAUCCGGUUUUCGUUAAGUAGUUUCACUUCAUAGUUAUUAGUGUUACCAGAUUUCUGUUGCGCUGCAAAUUGAAAACGUUAUUUGUAAUCUUGAGGUGUCGGGGAAGGCCGCUUUGUCUCCCGGGCGCCUGAAGGUAGUGCACCCCACCGACGCUGGUGUUUCUCCAGCGAAGGCUCUGAACGUCGAGGGAGCACGAAAGAAGAACCUGUGUGGCCUGGAGGUCGGAGAUUCGAGUCGUUCCGCUAUGCGCGCCGUCUUCCCUCGACCGGACGGCAGGCCGCAAGCGCUACUGGACGUUGCUGGGAAGAGGAAGAAACCCCUGCCGAGGGGCGUCACUGCGCCGUCUCCAUUGUAGAGUGGCUCUGUCGACUGGCGCAAAGCGGUACGCUUCAUUUAAAAAUCUCAAAGGCAUUUGGUAAGAAUCUCAAGCUGGGUACAAAUGCAACGGAUGAUGCAGUUCCCGACACCAGGCCGAGGAAGGAGGGGCCGAGAGAGUCGGGGGCUCGUUGGUCUAGGGGUAUGAUUCUCGCUUCGGGUGCGAGAGGUCCCGGGUUCAAAUCCCGGACGAGCCCGCCCAGCUCCCUGCUUGGCUGUGUCAGUUGAGCUCUCGAAAGUGUACUGGCAGCAAGAGUGUUGCGGGAAGGUUCAGCAUGGGCCAAGGGGCUUGCAGGAAGGCUCUUGCUGAGGAGGGGAAAGAUCCCUGGUAGAGCAGGCCAGGCUGGUCCUCC
rnacentral:tRNA from 1 species